rnacentral:tRNA from 1 species
GUUCCUGUAGUGUAGUGGUUAUCACGUUUACUUAACACACUAAAGGGCUUUGGUUCAAAACUAGACAGAAACA